UACGAAGGGGGCUAGCGUUGCUCGGAAUUACUGGGCGUAAAGCGCACGUAGGCGGCUUUCUAAGUCGGGGGUGAAAUCCUGGAGCUCAACUCCAGAACUGCCUUCGAUACUGGAGAGCUCGAGUCCGGGAGAGGUGAGUGGAACUGCGAGUGUAGAGGUGAAAUUCGUAGAUAUUCGCAAGAACACCAGUGGCGAAGGCGGUUGCCUGGGGCUUUGCUGACGCUGAGGCGCGAAAGCGUGGGGAGCGAUCCGG
rnacentral:rRNA from 1 species